rnacentral:rRNA from 1 species
CAGCAGCCGCCGCGGUAAUACGGAGGGUGCAAGCGUUAUCCGGAUUUAUUGGGUUUAAAGGGUCCGUAGGCGGAUCUGUAAGUCAGUGGUGAAAUCUCACAGCUUAACUGUGAAACUGCCAUUGAUACUGCAGGUCUUGAGUAAAUUUGAAGUGGCUGGAAUAAGUAGUGUAGCGGUGAAAUGCAUAGAUAUUACUUAGAACACCAAUUGCGAAGGCAGGUCACUAAGAUUUAACUGACGCUGAUGGACGAAAGCGUGGGGAGCGAACAGGAUUAGAUACCCCCGUAGUCCCUGUCUCUUAUAC